UACGUAGGGGACGAGCGUUGUCCGGAAUUACUGGGCGUAAAGGGCGCGCAGGCUGUAGAUCAAGUCAGCUGUGAAAUGUCUGGGCUUAACCCGGGCAUGCGGUUGAAACUGAUGUACUGGAGUGCUGUAGAGGCAAGUGGAAUUCCCAGUGUAGCGGUGAAAUGCGUAGAUAUUGGGAAGAACACCGGUGGCGAAGGCGACUUGCUGGGCAGCAACUGACGCUGAGGCGCGAAAGCCAGGGGAGGCAAAUGGGGAUUAGA
rnacentral:rRNA from 1 species